rnacentral:rRNA from 1 species
GAUCCUGGCUCAGAUUGAACGCUGGCGGCGUGCUUAACACAUGCAAGUCGUACGCGAAAGGGACUUCGGUCCCGAGUAAAGUGGCGCACGGGUGAGUAACACGUGGAUAAUCUGCCUCUAUGAUGGGGAUAACAGUUGGAAACGACUGCUAAUACCGAAUACGCUCAUGAUGAACUUUGUGAGGAAAGGUGGCCUCUGCCUGCAAGCUAUCGCAUAGAGAUGAGUCCG